UUUUGCAGGAUUGUCCAUAGCUCUUUUGGGAACAAUUAUAUCAAACUAUUCUUACUACUUUUUGAUGCCGUGGACAUGCUUGUGCAUGGGAAUAUUCUUGGUGAAGACGAUGAAGAGAGUUCUCUUUGCAGAGGUGAGGACGUACGAUUCAAGUAGCCAUCACUAUCUCCUAUUGUUUAUUGCUUUAGCUCAAUUUCCUCUUCUCUUUUGGCUUGGGAAGAUUAGCCUUAGUUGGUUCUUUUGAAUUACAUCUCCAGUUGUUAAGGUAGUGCGGCAGUUUAUGCUUUUAGAGAAGUAAAGCAAUCAAUUAUUUUGUAAUCUUCGUCACUUUGAUGUUCUAUUCUUGAAUGCUAGAGAGACAUGUAAAUGAACUGAUUAUCCACUUACUCCACCUAAAUGUGUACGAUAAGGCUUGUAAUGCUUAGAAGUUUCCCACUGGUAAACAGAAAGUACAGGAG
rnacentral:misc_RNA from 1 species